CCAGACCAUGAAGAAUUGACUUCCACAUUUCUCAGGGAACCAAGCAACAUCUUCACUCCAAUUUGAAGCGGUAACCAUGCACACAUGGAGCAGGAUGAAGAUGUUGACAAGUCUUAUCACUGGAGAUGUCAACCAUCUUUAUG